rnacentral:rRNA from 1 species
GACGAACGCUGGCGGCGUGCUUAACACAUGCAGGUCGAGCGGAAAGGCCACUUCGGUGGUACUCGAGCGGCGAACGGGUGAGUAACACGUGAGUAAUCUGCCCCUGGCUUUGGGAUAGCCACCGGAAACGGUGAUUAAUACCGGAUACGACCACUUCUCGCAUGGAUGGUGGUGGAAAGUUUUUUCGGCCAGGGAUGUGCUCGCGGCCUAUCAGCUUGAUGGUGAGGUAAUGGCUCACCAUGGCUUCGACGGGUAGCCGGCCUGAGAGGGUGACCGGUCACACUGGGACUGAGACACGGCCCAGACUCCUACGGGAGGCAGCAGUGGGGAAUAUUGGACAAUGGGCGGAAGCCUGAUCCAGCAACGCCGCGUGAGGGAUGACGGCCUUCGGGUUGUAAACCUCUUUCAGCAGGGACGAAGCGCAAGUGACGGUACCCGCAGAAGAAGCACCGGCCAACUACGUGCCAGCCGCCGCCGUAA